rnacentral:rRNA from 1 species
UACAGAGGCCCCAAGCGUUACUGAGAAUCACUGGGUUUAAAGGGUGCGUAGGUGGUCCGUUAAGUUCGUUUGUGAAAUCCCUGGGCUCAACCCAGGAAAUGCUUCGAAUACUGGCGGACUUGAGGCUAGUAGAGGUCACUGGAACUGACGGUGGAGCGGUGAAAUGCGUAGAUAUCGUCAGGAACGCCGAUGGUGAAGACAGGUGACUGGCUAGUUCGUGACACUGAGGCACGAAAGCGUGGGGAGCGAACGGG